AUUCAACUUUCUGGUUGUUAAAAGGAAGUUCUUCCUCACCACAGUCACCCGUCACAAGUGUUUGCUCCUGGAGGAUUCUGUUGGGUUUCUGUAAAUUGGCUUGAGAGUCUGGUUUUGACUCUGUAUAAGAAAAUUGUCA